ACCAAGUAUUGGAUUGUCACCCACCAAUAAGGAACGUAAGCUGGGUUUAGACCGUCAUGAGAUAGGUUAGUUUUACCCUACUGAUGAUAAUGUCGCAAUAAAAAUUCAACCUAGUAUGAGAGGAACUGUUGAUUCGCACAAUUGGUCAUCGCGCUAGGUUGAAAAGCCAGUGGCGCGAAGCUACCGUGCGCUGGAUUAUGACUGAACGCCUCUAAGUCAGAAUCCAGGAUAGAAGCGACGCAUGCGCCCGCCGUCCACUUGCCGACCCGUAGUAGGGGCCUUUGGCCCCCAAGGGCACGCGUCGUUGGCUAAAUCAUCGCAGCGGAAGAGCCGCGGUGGCCGCCUUGAAGUACAAUUUCCAUCGAGCGGCGGGUAGAAUCCUUUACAAAGGACAUAAAUACGUGACGGGGUAUUGUAAGUGGAAAAGUGGCCUUGCUGCCACGAUCCCCUGAGAUUCAGCCCUUUGUCGCUCCGAUUCGUCCCUCCUUCUCCCAAUCCUUUGCAGGCAACUUAAACACACGAAGGGGUAUUGGAAGUGGCAGAGUGGCCUUGCUGCCACGAUCCAAUGAGAUUCAGCCCUCUGUCGCUCCGUUUCGUCCCUCCCCCUCUAAUCCAAUCAUUUUCUAACUUUUCCGAUAAGAGGUUCACUCCUACCUUGAUAAUAUAUUAUACUAAGUGUUGGAAAAAUCGAACAAGUCCUCAAGACCUUGGAACGUAUAGUAGUUGUGCAUUAAGUGGAAAUGUGACAUGACACUUAGUCACGUCGAGGGAAAUACCAAACCAAAUCACACUACUAAGAGGCUUUUCAGGGUGUCGCUUGAGAGGUCAAGGCCUAUGCCAAGGUUUUUCAGGGUGUCGCUUGAGAGGCAAAGACCUAUGCCACGAGCGCAAGGCAUGGCCAUGGCAUGAGUUAGGACGUCCCAGGACAUGGCCGGGCGUGGCCAUGGCACGGACUAGAACGUGUCUGUACGUCGCAACACAUGGCGGGACACGAGUAAGGACGUCGCAGGACAUGGCAGGGCGUGGCCAUGGCACGAGUCAGGACGCGACAGGACAUGGCCAUGGUACGUGUCAGGACGCGUUUGGAAAUGGUAGGGCGUGACCAUGGCACGAGUCAGGACAUCGCAGGACAUGGCAAGGCAUGGCCAUGGCACGAGUCAGGACGUCGUAGGACGAGUCAGGACAUGGCCAUGGCACGUGUCAGGAUGCACCAGGACAUGGCAGUGGCACGUGUUAGGACGCAUCAGGACACGACAGGUUGUGGCCAUGGCAUGACUCAUGAUGUCGUAGGACAUGGCACGAGUCAGGACGUUGCAGGACGCGUCAGGACAUAGCCGUGGUACGUGUGAGGACGCAUCAGGACUUGGCCAUGGCAUGUGUAGGACGCGUCAGGACAUGGCAGGGCGUGGCCAUGGCACGAUUUGGGACGUCGCAGGACAUGGCAAAGCGUGGCCAUGGAACAAGUCGGGACGUCGAAGGACGCGUCCAGACAUGGCCAUGGCCUGUGUCAGGACGCGUAUGGACAUAGCAGUGGCACGUGUCAAGACGCGUCAGGACAUGGCAGGGCGUGGCCAUGGCAUGACUCAUGACAUCGUAGGAAAUGGCAGGGCGUGGUCAUGGCACGAGUCAGGACGUCGCAGGACGUGUCAGGACAUGGCCAUGGUACGUGUUAGGAUACAUCAGGACAUGACCAUGGCACGUGUCAGGACGCGUCAGGCAAUGGUAGGGCGUGGCCAUGGCACGAGUGGGGACGUUGCAAGACGCGUCAGGACAUGGUCGCCGCACGUGUCAGGAAAUGGCAGGGCGUGGCUAUGUCACGAGUCAGGACGUCGCAGGACAUGGCAGUAUAUGGCCAUGGUACGUGUCAGGACGUGUCAGGACAUGGCCAUGGCACGACAUAUAUGAAAAGGACUUUAAAAAGAGAGUCACCACGUCGCUCCAAGCCGCAGCACGUCUCUCUAAGCUGCACCAUGUCGCACCAUGUCUAUUGCUAGCCAAUGCUUAGAAACAUGUCAAACGCAAUGAUGUUGGUGACCAUUGGCGGCGGUGGUGGAAAAUCAGGGUGGUUCAAGCGGUAGCGUCCGGCGACGAUCGGUCGACGCUUUUUAGUUGGCGGCAGUUGCUUCAAAUCCUAAUCACUUGCUGUGGUUGGGAAACAUGUCAAGCGCAAUGAUGUUGGUGGUCGUUGGUAGCGGUGGUGGAAAGUCGCAGUGGUUCGAGCAGUAUCCGCCGGCGACGGUUGGUCGACGCUUUGUGGUUGGUGGAGGUUUAUUAAAAUCGGAAUCCCUUGUUAUGGUUGCAACAAUAGAUGUGCCUCAUGCUUAUUGGUACGCUCGUGGAACUUGGGUUUUUUUAAAGGAUGUAUAAGGGGGUAGAGGUAUUGAGAGGCUCCUCAGGUGCUUGCUUCCAGGAAGGGGUGGGCAUGCAUGGGGGACGCUGGCAUGGGGCGUGGGCAUUGGGGGCAUGCACGGCUUGUCCGUGCUACGUCCUCCAUGUUCCAAAACCGCGCCGGCAAGUAAUCGUGUGGGCUUUUAUUAAGCCUGGUGGUGGCACUGCUCGUGGCAAACAUUGGUUUUGGCAACGAAGGUGGAGCGUCAUGCAAGUAGCGCCGCAAGGUGCUGUGCGCAUGGGGCGAAGCUCAGUACUUGUUGAUCUCCAUUGGAUGUUGCGGGCCAAAUCGGGAGGCAACAUCGCUCGUGGCGGCUGAUUGCUUUUGACAACAGAACGGCAAAGCAUCGUGCAAGUAGCGCCGCGAGGUGCUGUGCGCAUGGAACGAAGCUUAGUAAGUUUUUGAUUGCCAUUGGUUAUUGUGGAUUGUGUCUUGAAUCUCUCGUGGCGGCUGAUGGCUUUCGACAACGAACGGCGGAGCAUCGUGCAAGUAGCAUCGCAAGGUGCUGUGCGUAUGUGGCGAAGCUUAGUAAAUGUCGAUUGCCAUCGGUUGUUGCGAGCAACAUCGCUCAUGGCAGUUGAUGUCUUUCGGCAAUGGAACAGCGGAUCAUCGUGCAAGUAGCGCCGCAAGGUGUCGAGCGCAUGGGGUGAAGCUUAGUAAGUUGCCUAUUGCCAUCGAUUGUUGUGGGUUGUGUCUAUAAACCCCCCUCCGUGGCGGCUUAUGGCUUUUGACAACGAACAACAAAGCAUCGUGCAAGUAGCACCGCAAGGUGGUGUGCGCACGAGGCGAAGCUCAGUAGAUGUUCAUUGCCAUCGGUUGUUGUGAGAAACAUCGAGAGGCCACAUUGCUCGUGGCGGCUGAUGGCUUUUGGCAACAAAAUGGCAAAGCAUCGUGCAAGUAGCGCCGCAAGGUGCCGUGAGCACGGGGCGAAGCUUAGUAAGUUGCUGNNNNNNNNNNNNNNNNNNNNNNNNNNNNNNNNNNNNNNNNNNNNNNNNNNNNNNNNNNNNNNNNNNNNNNUGUAAGCAUCGUGCAAGUAGCGCCGCAAGGUGCCAUGCAUAUGGGGCGAAGCUUAUUGAGUUGCUAAUUCCAUCGGUUAUUGUGGGCAACAUCGGGAGGCGACAUCGCUCGUGGUGGCUGAUGGCUUUUGGGAACAAAAUGGCAAAGCAUCGUGCAAGUAGCGCCGCAAGGUGCUGUGCGUACAGGGCAAAGCUUAGUAAGUUCCGAUUUCCAUCGGUUGUAGCGGGUAACAUCUGGAGGCGACAUCGCUCGUUGUGGUUGAAGGGUAUUGGCAACAAAAUGGCAAAGCAUCGUGCAAGUAGAACCGCAAGGUGCCGUGCUCACGGGGCGAAGCUUAGUAAGUUGCUGAUUUCCAUCAGUUGUUGCUGGAAAAUUGGAAGGCAACAUCGCUCGUGGCGGCUGAUGGCUUUUCGCAAUGGAAUGGCAAAGCAUCGUACAAGUAGCGCCGCAAGGUGCCAUGCGCAUGGGGCGAAGCUCAGUAAAUUUCCAAUUGCCAUCGGUUGUUGUUGUUUGUGUCUAGCAUUGUUCAAACCUCCUAUUCGUGCUUUGCGGGGCUUGUCUUGGCUUUGCAAUGUUGGCAUCGGCAAAAACACACGGCUGCACGUCACGUGUCUGGGCUAGUGUUUACUUUGUAUCGGCGAGGCAAGUUUUUGUGUUUCAUACGUAAUGCAAAGGCAUUAUCAAGCACAACUGGUCGCCUUUCGCCCCUCGCGUUUGACGUGCGGGGAGAACCAAAAGCUGCAGUGUGUCCCAGGUUGUCCUGGCUUCGCCAUGCGAUGGCUUGGUCAACGACUUAACAUGCUCGAGCUCUCGAAUUUGGUUAACGCAAUGGGCAUGGGGCCAUCAUUAGCUCCUAUCAAUCCAAAGAAUGCUCCUUACGAAUGAUGAUCGUGCUCGCCUUAGACUUGGCCGUGCCCUUUUGAGUUGGCCACGCUUAUGCGACGCUGGCGUCAAUGAGGAAUGCUACCUGGUUGAUCCUGCCAAUAGUCAUAUGCUUGCCUCUAAGAUUAAGCCAUGCAUGUGUAAGUAUGAACAAAUUCAGACUGUGAAACUGCGAAUGGCUCAUUAAAUCGGUUAUUGUUUGUUUGAUGGUAUCUACUACUCGGAUAACCGUAGUAAUUCUAGAGCUAAUACGUGCAACAAUCCCCGACUUCUGGAAGGGAUGCAUUUAUUAGAUAAAAGGUCGACGCGGGCUCUGCCCGUUGCUGCGAUGAUUCAUGAUAACUCGAUUCUGGAAGGGUUGCAUUUAUUAGAUAAAGGUCGACGCGGGCUCUGCACGUUGCUGCGAUGAUUCAUGAUAACUCGUCGAAUCUUACGGCCAUCAUGCCGGCGACGCAUCAUUCAAAUUUCUGACCUAUAUAUUUUCGAUGGUAGGAUAGUGGCCUACCAUGGUGGUGACAGGUGACGAAGAAUUAGGGUUCGAUUCCGGAGAGGGAGCCUGAGAAAUGGCUACCACAUCAAAGGAAGGCAGCAGGCGCGCAAAUUACCCAAUCCUGACACGGGUAGGUAGUGACAAUAAAUAAUAGAAUCGGGCUUUAUGAGUCUGGUAAUUGGAAUGUGUACAAUCUAAAUACCUUAACGAGGAUCCAGUGGA
rnacentral:lncRNA from 1 species